AACGCACAUUGCGCCCUGUGGUAUUCCACAGGGCAUGCCUGUUUGAGCGUCAUUUCUCCUUCAAACUUCUAGUUUGGAUUUGGGCUUGGGGAAGCUUUAUACCCAGCCUGAAAUAGUGGGUGAAACAUAUGUCUAUUAGGUUUUACACAAUGAGUUAGGUUCUGCCAGUUCGUUGAAUAAAAUCUAUGUGAAGAUGCUUCAAUACCAGCCCAUUUUAUACCCCCCCAAAUUUGACCUCAAAUCAGGUAGGACUACCCGCUGAACUUAA
rnacentral:misc_RNA from 1 species